CCUGACGUGUGUGAAAGGAAAUACAAUAGGCUUAACUAAUCAUGGCUGAUCUAUAAUAUACAAAUCAGAGUGUGAAGCGGGGGCGGGCAGUGUUUGUGGAACUCCUGGUAUGAAAAUCUAGGCACGUUGGGUGUCACUCAAGACCUGGUAGAGCAGAUCAACGUAGCCUGUGUCGACAUAUUAUGGAGCCCCUGUAACGUAUUCUCACCUAAGUCACGUGUGCCCCUUCAGCCGGAGCAGCCGUUACCGUGACAACAAUGCAUGACGGGGGCUGGUGAUGGUGUGGAGUAGUAACCAUGGCAUCCAAUCUGUUAUUGCUAUCUUUGCAACCACACAUCUCUGAUCCCACACAGCCUGCACAAUAGUGUAAAAGACAGGCUGAGAACAUUUGGGUGGAUGUGGAGGUGUGUGUGUGGCACAUUUUAAGUCCUGAGCCAAUCAAAUAGUCUAAAAAUAUAGAGUGGAAUAUGCAGAAAUAGGCCAUCAUCAGCGUGUAUGUGAGGUAAAUGUUCUCACUCCACUGCUGGCGUUAACUCAGGUCACGCAGCCUAUAUUUCACGCUCUGAGUCCAAGUCCCUGCUGCUCUAUUUCCAGAGAAGACAUCAAUAAUUUGUGGCCUAGUCUGCAUACAUGGGUGAAAUACUGUAUACUGUAUGUGUUCCGUCGGUAGUGUAACACGCAAUGAGCACCGACUGAACCCAUUACUGGAAUUAACGCACAUUAAUGUUUCAUCACGGCCCAUUACAGAGUCUCUUAUCACAAAGGAAAACCCAUGACCUCGAUUCAAAAUGCACACUGCAGGCAACGAUAUGUUCACGAGAUGGUCACACUCUACGUUUGCCUGCCCAGGGCCAUUGGUCUCAGCUGGUCUGCAGGUGGCGCUCUUCAGCAGGAUCAUGGUGACACCAAAGUGGAGUGUGGUGGAUGAUUUGAGGAGUCUCACAGCAUGAGGAAUGAAGCUGAAGUGUUGAAUGGCCCUAUCACGUGUGGUUUACUGUUCUGGGCUACUUCAGAAACAUGGCAAGCUCUGUAGAAGAGGACCCCAUCUCACUGUAGAUGAGUCUAAAAACAAAAACAUAACUAUUCUUAGUGAUUAUGCACUGAUAAUCUGAAGAAAUUACAUUUGAAUUGAUGAUAAUGAACAUAAUAUUCUA